rnacentral:rRNA from 1 species
AAUCAACGCUGGCGGCGUGCCUCAGACAUGCAAGUCGAACGAUUAAAAGCUCUCUUCGGGGAGCGAGUAGAGUGGCGCACGGGUGAGUAACACGUAGGUAAUCUACCUCAGGGUGGGGAAUAACAGCCGGAAACGGCUGCUAAUACCGCAUAAUGCAGCGGCACCACAUGGUGACAGUUGUUAAAGCGGGGGAUCGUAAGACCUCGCGCCUGGAGAUGAGCCNGCGGCGGAUUAGCUAGUUGGCAGGGUAACGGCCUACCAAGGCAACGAUCCGUAGCCGGCCUGAGAGGGCGGACGGCCACACUGGCACUGACAUACGGGCCAGACUCCUACGGGAGGCAGCAGUCGGGAAUUUUGGGCAAUGGGCGAAAGCCUGACCCAGCAACGCCGCGUGAAGGAUGAAG